rnacentral:snRNA from 1 species
GGAUGUGAGGGCGAUCUAGCUGCAACAUCUGUCACCCCAUUGAUUGCCAGGGUUGAUUUGGCUGAUCUGGCUGGCUAGAUGGGUGCCCCCUUCCUCCUUCACCGCUCUACGUGCGUCCCUCCCAAAGCUGUGCGCUCGGUCGAAGAGGACGACCAUCCCCAAUAGAGGAGGACCAUUCUUCGGUCAAGGGUAUAUGAGUAGCUGCACUCCCCUACUAGAACAUACAAACAAGCUCUCAAGAUAUUGAUGGAAUCAGGUUUUACUUCCUGGGGCUGAAAGUACAGCUCAGUGGUAAAGCUUUUUGUCUUAGUAUUCUUGGAGCCCUAGGUUUGAUUCCUA